UACGAAGGGGGCUAGCGUUGUUCGGAAUUACUGGGCGUAAAGGGCGCGUAGGCUGUGCUGUAAGUCAGGCGUGAAAGCCCCGGGCUCAACCUGGGAAUUGCGCUUGAUACUGCGGCGCUGGAAGGUGGGAGAGGAUGGCGGAAUUCCCAGUGUAGAGGUGAAAUUCGUAGAUAUUGGGAAGAACACCAGUGGCGAAGGCGACUCUUUGGUCUGUAACUGACGCUGAGGCGCGAAAGCGUGGGGAGCAAACAGG
rnacentral:rRNA from 1 species